rnacentral:rRNA from 1 species
GAUGAACGCUAGCUACAGGCUUAACACAUGCAAGUCGAGGGGCAGCAUGAGGUCAGCUUGCUGACUUUGAUGGCGACCGGCGCACGGGUGAGUAACGCGUAUCCAACCUUCCCGCGACUGGGGGAUAACCUUGCGAAAGUAAGACUAAUACCCCAUGGUUUCCGAGGCGGACAUCCAAUUUGGAAUAAAGAUUCAUCGGUUGUGGAUGGGGAUGCGUCUGAUUAGCUUGUUGGCGGGGUAACGGCCCACCAAGGCUACGAUCAGUAGGGGUUCUGAGAGGAAGGUCCCCCACAUGGGAACUGAGACACGGUCCAAACUCCUACGGGAGGCAGCAGUGAGGAAUAUUGGUCAAUGGACGAGAGUCUGAACCAGCCAAGUAGCGUGCAGGAUGACGGCCCUAUGGGUUGUAAACUGCUUUUAUACGGGAAUAAAGUCAACCACGUGUGGUUGUUUGUAUGUACCGUAUGAAUAAGGACCGGCUAAUUCCGUGCCAGCAGCCGCCGUAAUAC